GAGGAAUAUUGGUCAAUGGGCGAGAGCCUGAACCAGCCAAGUAGCGUGAAGGAUGACUGCCCUAUGGGUUGUAAACUUCUUUUAUAUGGGAAUAAAGUGCUCCACGUGUGGAGUUUUGUAUGUACCAUGUGAAUAAGGAUCGGCUAACUCCGUGCCAGCAGCCGCGGUAAUACGGAGGAUCCGAGCGUUAUCCGGAUUUAUUGGGUUUAAAGGGAGCGUAGGCGGACUAUUAAGUCAGUUGUGAAAGUUUGCGGCUCAACCGUAAAAUUGCAGUUGAUACUGGUAGUCUUGAGUGCAGCAUAGGCAGGCGGAAUUCGUGGUGUAGCGGUGAAAUGCUUAGAUAUCACGAAGAACUCCAAUUGCGAAGGCAGCUUGCUGGAGUGUAACUGACGCUGAUGCUCGAAAGUGUGGGUAUCAAAC
rnacentral:rRNA from 1 species